rnacentral:lncRNA from 1 species
AAAUCUGGCGUGUAUCUUCCAUCUCAGCAAGUAGCUGCAGAACUGCACACGGGGCUCUCGGCUGCCACAGCUGACAGCACAGGGUGAGCUGCUCUGGGAAGGUGCUGGUGUGUCACUCACCGGGCACACUCACGGACCAGCUACCCAAGGAGGCAGUGACCACAGGACUGGAGUACUGGGAAGCAAAACAAGGGAGAAAGGCCAGUCCCCACCACUCCUGGUGCCUGCUAAGUGGGGUAAAUGCCCUUCUUGUAGACGAGCGCCACAGCAGCCAUGGAAGUGUUGGGAUGGAGAGAGGAAAGGAAAGCAUUGAAAGUCCUGUAAGGGUUCUGAGAGUCAUAGAUCCUGUAAGAUGUCACUCAUCUAAGUCAUGCUCUUAGGACUCCGGGCAGUCAAGGAAGAGAAGCAACAAGCCCAGGCAGAACCAGGAGAGGAAGAGGAAAUGAGGCAGGUGAGGGGAUUUGCUCCACCCGGUCUGGCCUGGCGGGGAGGGACUGACGACUGCAGGGCUUCCUCAGAGACGAUCCCUUCGGCUCAACAGGCUUGCCAAGGAAGGAAGGAGCCGCCACCCGCACUGGGAGAUUCAUCUGAGAGAUGAAAGGAACGGAAUGCCACAGGACAACCCUAGGGGAGGAGUGCACGACACUAGGGGCUUCGGAGGCACGAGGAUGCGACAUGAACAAGCCCACUCGCCGUCAGAGUCCCAGCGCCCUCUCUCCAGUGACCAGGCCCCCGUGGAGGGCCCAGUCCACCCUCCAGCUUUCAUAAACUUUGAAAUAACACAAUGUAAAACAGUCUAAAUUAUGUCAGAUGAUUCUAAGUGAUUAAAUGUGACAAAGAGGUAUGUCACCAGGGUGGCUGCCUGAUUCCCCAAUUCUCAGUAUCACUGAAAUGAAUCAACGGAGAGACUCUGAGUAAUGCCGGGCACGGCCACCACACUCAGGCUGCUGUUUCUUACAGAGACCUGGGAUCUUUCCCAAAUGUCACCGGUUCAGCCAGGGAUCCUGACACAGGGUUCUGCACACGGCUGAGAUCCAAACCUGUUGGAACUGUUUGUCUAACUUGCACUGGAUACAUAGAGAUUAAAUUCACUGCAAAGGGUUAAACACACGAUGUCUCCUGGACACUCACUAGUGAUGUUGAUGCUGAUGCUGAUGCUGAUGGAGAUGGCGAUUGGUCAACUGAGAAUGCCAAAAUCAAUCACAAGUCAAAAAUGGAAGUUUCUCAAUUUCAACCAUAUCAGGGCACGGACUCAACUUUCAGUAACAGGAAAACAACAACAAAAUAAAAUGACAGGCAACUUUGAAAAUGGAUGUACGGUUUCUGACACUGCAGAAUGAAGGCAAAGAAUGCAUGCUUGUCAAGUCUGUAGAUGGCCAAGCACAGAAAGGACAACCUUUAUCCUGAAUGAACAAGGACCUUGACAUGAUUGUGAGGAGGGAAGUGAAGAGUCUCCAUGCUGAACAAAACCAAUGGUGUGCCUUUCGCCUUCUG